rnacentral:rRNA from 1 species
UACGGGGGGAGCAAGCGUUGUUCGGAUUUACUGGGCGUAAAGGGCGCGUAGGCGGUCGUGACAAGUCACUUGUGAAAUCUCCGGGCUUAACUCGGAACGGUCAAGUGAUACUGUCGGACUAGAGUACAGAAGGGGCAACUGGAAUUCUCGGUGUAGCGGUGAAAUGCGUAGAUAUCGAGAGGAACACCUGCGGCGAAGGCGGGUUGCUGGGCCGACACUGACGCUGAGGCGCGAAAG